CUUUCAGUUUGUCGAGAACGUUUGAACUCAGAGCAGCGCCCCAAAAAAGUUGAGCGCUUUCAGCCAGCGGGACGCAGUUUGGGCCAAGCUUUCUGGCCAUCGUGCGUGCAGCAGGCUAACGCCAGGAAAAAAAAAAAACGGAAAAAAAGCAAAAUUGUAAAUUCAAAUUUGGCCAUAAAGCGAGCUAAAGUUAAGCUAAAAAGUAAAAAAAAAAAAGCCAAAAAUCAGAUGAGAAAAUGUACACGGAGUGUCUGAAAUAGUGCGGAGAAAAAUGUGCGGCUAGCGGAUCGGAGGAGAAGGAGAAAGAGCAAGGAGGAGGCGGAAUCUAGUUGCUGCACAUGAACACAACCAGAGCAUAGACAGACACAGGAAACUUUUCAUAUCCCCGCAGUGAACAAUAAAAGCAAAAGUGGCAGCAGCUCCAAACAAAAAUGACAGCAAUAAGUUUAAGCAAUAAAACACAGCUUGCCGGGAACUGCGAAAAUGCAGCCUGAAGACAAGAAACAUAAGCAGCGGGCUAAAGCUUUAAAAUAGGAGUUAAUCGACAUAGCUCCUACCCCAUCCCAAAAAACCAAAAAAGAAAAUCCCUUUAAUCCCCCAAAUCAACUGCCAAAUCAUAUAUAAAAAAAUAUUAAAUUAAAUAAAAGUAAAGAGAAGCUGCUGAAAGGAGCGAAAAGGGAGGAGAAUCUCUAGAGUUAACCGGGACACUGAAACAUUCCACCCCAUAGCAUGGCCUCGGUCGCCGCUUGGCUGCCCUUCGCCCGGGCGGCGGCCAUCGGGUGGGUGCCGAUAGCCACCCACCCACUGCCACCGCCGCCAAUGCCCAAGGAUCGCCGCAAAACGGACGACGAGAAGCUCCUCAUCAACGUCUCCGGCCGCCGCUUCGAAACGUGGCGGAAUACUCUGGAGAAAUAUCCAGAUACUCUUCUAGGUUCCAAUGAAAGAGAGUUCUUCUACGAUGAGGACUGCAAAGAGUACUUCUUCGACCGGGACCCGGACAUCUUCCGGCACAUAUUAAACUAUUACCGGACAGGAAAGCUGCACUAUCCCAAGCACGAAUGCCUCACCAGCUACGACGAGGAGUUAGCCUUCUUCGGCAUCAUGCCGGACGUGAUCGGGGACUGUUGCUACGAGGACUACAGGGACCGGAAGCGGGAGAACGCUGAGAGGCUGAUGGACGACAAGCUGUCGGAGAACGGGGAUCAGAAUCUGCAACAGCUAACCAAUAUCCGGCAGAAGAUGUGGCGGGCAUUCGAGAAUCCGCACACGUCCACAAGUGCUUUGGUGUUCUACUACGUGACGGGCUUCUUCAUCGCCGUCUCUGUGAUGGCCAACGUGGUGGAGACAGUGCCCUGCGGCCAUCGUCCUGGCAGGGCGGGUACCCUGCCUUGCGGCGAGCGCUACAAGAUCGUCUUCUUCUGCCUGGACACAGCCUGUGUGAUGAUCUUCACGGCGGAGUAUCUGCUCCGCCUGUUCGCCGCCCCCGAUCGCUGCAAGUUUGUACGUUCGGUGAUGAGUAUCAUCGAUGUGGUGGCUAUUAUGCCCUACUACAUCGGCCUGGGCAUCACCGACAACGACGACGUCAGUGGCGCCUUCGUCACGCUCCGCGUGUUCCGAGUGUUCCGUAUCUUCAAGUUCUCCCGCCACUCGCAGGGACUGCGGAUCCUCGGCUACACGCUCAAGUCCUGCGCCAGUGAGCUGGGCUUCCUGGUCUUCUCGCUGGCCAUGGCCAUCAUCAUAUUUGCCACCGUAAUGUUCUACGCCGAGAAGAACGUCAACGGCACCAACUUCACAUCGAUUCCGGCGGCCUUUUGGUACACCAUUGUCACCAUGACCACGUUGGGCUACGGCGACAUGGUGCCAGAGACAAUAGCUGGCAAAAUUGUGGGCGGCGUCUGCUCGCUCAGCGGUGUGCUGGUCAUCGCCUUACCUGUACCUGUUAUCGUAUCGAACUUUAGUAGAAUCUAUCACCAGAACCAGCGGGCGGACAAGCGCAAGGCGCAGCGGAAAGCUCGCUUGGCGCGCAUCCGGAUUGCCAAGGCCUCGUCCGGAGCCGCUUUUGUUAGCAAGAAGAAGGCCGCCGAGGCCCGGUGGGCUGCCCAGGAGUCCGGCAUCGAGCUGGAUGACAACUAUCGGGACGAGGACAUUUUCGAGCUGCAGCACCAUCACUUGCUGCGAUGUCUGGAGAAGACAACGAUGUAGCAACAUUUGAACAUCUCAGAUAUAGUAAGAUAUUGUAAGGUUUGCCACAAGCUCAUUAGGCAAGCAAUGACAACCAUAACAACAACAUCAACAACAGCAACAACAAUAGCAACAGCAACCACACCAACAACAGCAGCAGCGACACCAAAAUAUAGAACAAAAGCCAUGUCAAAGGAUAUAUUUUUAAGAGUUUUCAAUCUGUCGUCGCGUCUUCUCAUUAUUCAAAAUCGAAAAUUGCGAAAAGCGUUUAGAAAACAGCAAACAAAAAAACUGAACUGAACUGAACUGAAAUGCAAAAAUAUUCAGCAUCCUUAGUAUGUGAACUUUGUUUUGUGUUUACAAAUUUUUAUAAUUUUCAAUUUCUUGUGUUUUGGGGCGAUUUUGUUUCCGAUCUGUUUUCUGUACAUUUAUUGUAUCUUCUGUAUACGUGUGUCGGAUUUGUUGUAUUACGUUCUAAGUUGUAUGUUCUAAGUUCACCAUUUGUGUCAUGUUUUUCACACGACCUGGUUAUCAUCUAGCUUUGGAAAUCGAGCAAAUAUAAAUACAUACAUAUAGCUAUAUGAAACAGAAAAAAAUUGAAAUAAAAAAAGCAAUGAAUAUCAAUGUCUAUGCUCUGAUAAACGAAUAUAAAUUCGCCAAAGAUCGAGAAUUUGUCGAGUUGGAAAUUCCGUAUAACGGUCAGCCGAAGCGGCCGGGCUCUCCGUCGCCGAUGGCCAGUCCCGC
rnacentral:misc_RNA from 1 species